AAGGACUUAAGUUAAUAAAACUUAUAACCUUCAAAGUUAUAUAUAAAAUAUAUUAAUAUUUUAGGCCUUA
rnacentral:tRNA from 1 species